UGGGCUGUAGCUCAGUGGUAGAGCGCCUGCCUCUCAUAUGUGAGGCCCUGGGUUCGAUCCUCAGCACCACAU
rfam:Ictidomys tridecemlineatus contig052982, whole genome shotgun sequence.